AUGCUUGUUUCAGUAGCACAUAUAGUAAAAUUGAAACAAUGCAGAGACUAACCUGGCCCCUGCUCAAAGACAACAUGAAAAUUUAUUUAGUGUUUCAUAUAAUG
rnacentral:snRNA from 1 species